UGUUAUGUAUUUUUACAGACAUUUCUUAAAAGUUGGAAGACGAGCUUAAACAAAUGCGCGCACAGUCUGCGUUUGGCGUCCUCGCCAAAUCCACCCGUGCUCUUGUAUCGAAACCGAAAGCAACCAAAAAGUGAUUGAUCGCGGAAGUUUUUUUACUUUAACCGAGCUCCUGUAAUCCAAAGCCCACCGCCAGUAGUCCAUGACGAAGGAAAUUGGAGCCGUGGACGGUAAUGCGGGGAUCGUGGAAGGCACGCAACAGAGUGUCACUGGGCACUGGGUGUCAGCACAUCAGAUCUGCUGCUUGAUUCACGAACAUCUAUUUAAAGUCGAUGAAUGCCAUAUAAGACGAUUGGUGUCUUUGCUAGUGUUCCUGAGAUUCAACAAAAUUCUAUUCCAGGAAAAUGUGAGAUACGUACUACGAGCAGUAUGUGAACACUGGCUUGGCUGGGGUUGACAGAAUGGGAUUCACAAGGGUCAUUCAGCAUACUAUGAUAAAUGUGUGUUAACAGGCCAUCUGUUUGCAUCGUUGUGGUGACGCUGCUCUGUGCAGUAGCCUACAGUAAACGGCGGUUCGACUACGCCAACAUUUUAAGCACAUACAGAAACCUGAUUGUUCCAGAGCUUCAACAACUAAAUCUAACCGGUGCCUCUUUUGCAUCCGAGGGAAAAGAUUGCUGUCCUUCUGAAAAGGUGCAUCGUAUAUUUCGCUCAAUCUGUGGGAUGACCAAGCAGUACCUGAACAAUACAGGGCAGCAGGGAGAAAUUGGACGGGUGGUGCAGAAGAUGGAGUUUCUGAUCACGGAACGGUGCAAAAAGGUUGGCAUGGUAAAGCAGAGGACUGCAACGUGUAAAGAUGCAAAACUACAAAAGUUAAAAGAAAAGUGUCUAAAACGAAAGAAGAGAAGAAGGGACCAUUGCCGUAGGGAGGAGAAAAUGAAGUUGGUUCAAAUGCUUGUUUUUUGCUGGCAAAAACUGCAGAGUGCCACACCCUGAGGAAGGGUGAGGGGAAGGGAAUUGAAACACUGUCUCUGACAGUUAUAUCCGCUCACUGAAUGUAAAAGCCAUCAUUACACAUGUCUGUCCAUGAUGCUUGGUUCCUAUUUAUCUUAGAUUCAAUGUGUCAGUAUUUGAAUAAAUGUUGUUUUUACAAUAUUCUUUUUGUCACACAUAUGACUAUGAAGCCUUAUAAAAUCAGCUGGGUGCUUACUUUAUUCCCUAUAUGUUUGUACCAAAUCAACAUAUACCAUUUACACAUAGACCUAAUAUGACUUGUAUAGGCUACUUGUAUUUGCUCAUAUGUCAUCUGCUGAACUGUGUAUUCAAUCUCUAUUCAUUCUAUUCAAAAGUGUCCCAUUAUCCGAAAGUGCAUGCAUAAACCAAAUAAGAGCAUUGGCACAAUGUGCAUUGAUGCAUCAUAAAAAUAUGUUGUAUUUCUUAAUAAAUAUUUUAAAAACCAA